GGGGUUGUAGCUCAAUGGUAGAGCACCUGUUUAUCAUGCAGAAAGUCCUAGGUUCAAUCCCUGGCAUCUCCA